UCCCUAGUGGCUUAGCUGGUAAAGAAUCUGUCUGCAGUGCAGGAGACCUGGGUUCGAUCCCUGGGUUGGGAA
rnacentral:tRNA from 1 species